rnacentral:rRNA from 1 species
GAUGAACGCUAGCGGCAGGCCUAAUACAUGCAAGUCGAACGGUAGACGGUAGCAAUAUCGUCGAGAGUGGCGCACGGGUGCGUAACGCGUAUGCAACCUACCUUCCUGCGGGGGAUAGCCUGGAGAAAUUCAGAUUAAUACCCCAUAUUAUUAUGAGUUGGCAUCAACUUAUAAUGAAAGGAGCAAUUCACAGGGAGCUGGGCAUGCGUUCCAUUAGUUAGAUGGCGAGGUAACGGCUCACCAUGACUAC